GAGACAAUUGCGCAUCGCGUCCCGCAGGCGUGGUGCGGCCAGCCUGGGUGGCAUAAAAGGCGCGGGAAGUCAGGUCCCGCUCUCACUCCCUCUCCCGACCAGGUCCAAGAUUCACGAAGCGGCUCCACGCUCAGCACCACGCCUCAUCGACACGUGGGCCAGUACCCUUACCACUUCUACGUUUUGUUUACUGUGUACACGGGAUUUCUCAAGCAAUCGGACUCCCUCUCCGCUACUAUGGUCCCACAACUGAUAUUCUCCAAUCCUUUGGGGCCUUCCACAUCCCAGGCCGGUACCGCAGGGGCCCCCUGCCCUACCCAGCAAACCCUAAGGGUAGGCGCAUGCCGUAGAGCGGUCUGUCGGUUUGGUGGCGAGAAGCCGGAUCACGCAGCAACUGCAACACGGAAGAGGGCUCGGGCGACGUCGCGUGAGGACAACAGCGCAGUGGGGUGAGGACGCAGCCGGCCUUCGCUUCGCCUCCCCCCCUCGGGGGCCUCCUCGGGCGGCUCUGAUGUGCACGGCGACCACACUUCCCAGAGGCCACUGCCGGCAAAGCGGCGGGUGGCACAGCGUCGCAGCCUCCACCUUUUUCGGCCGACGAUUGGACGACGCUGCAGGCGCCCAUCGCGCAGGCUCGGGGGCCCUCUCAUG
rnacentral:lncRNA from 1 species